UACGUAGGGUGCGAGCGUUGUCCGGAAUUACUGGGCGUAAAGAGCUCGUAGGUGGUUUGUCGCGUUGUCCGUGAAAACUCACAGCUCAACUGUGGGCGUGCGGGCGAUACGGGCAGACUGGAGUACUGCAGGGGAGACUGGAAUUCCUGGUGUAGCGGUGGAAUGCGCAGAUAUCAGGAGGAACACCGGUGGCGAAGGCGGGUCUCUGGGCCACUACUGACGCUGAGGCGCGAAAGCGUGGGGAGCAAACAGGAUUAGA
rnacentral:rRNA from 1 species